GGGGGUGCCAUGCCUUUCGCGUGGCGCGGGAGGCCGUAGAGGUUGAAGCCGAGCUGCUACGGCCUAUGGGUGCAGCUUGCCGAGGCCGAUGGUCGCGGAUUUGAAAAUGAAGAGGAAGAGCAGUGCUACCACUGAUUUGAGAGCUUUUUUAGCAAGAGCUGCUGCAAAAAAGAAGGUUAUUAUUGCUCCAUCUUCCAAUGAAAGAGAGAUGCAAUUGGUGAUAUUUCAAGGACAGACUGAAGCUAGUAAUGCAACACCCGCAGAACAAGAGAGAGUUGAGAAGGAAGAUGGGACAAAAAAAUUUAAAUGGAUGCUUGGUUACUUUUAUUGAAAGGCAAUUCUUCUUGCAAGUCAAGGAUGAGGACAUUGCCACUCAAUUUCAAAGCUUAAAGGAUCAGAAGGUUGUCUUGUAAUAUGAGGAGAUACAGAAACUUCUUGAUUCUUGGGACAAUUUGGACAAGUUGUACCAUGACGCCAGCAAUUCUCUCACCACCUUAGAGAGGAGCCACCGCUUUACCAUGUCAGAGCUGGAGCGCCAGAGAGAUGAGUUAAAAAUCUCCCAGUACGAGAUAUCAAGACUUAGCAGGUCAUUGUCUUUGAAAGAUCCCAUCAUCAGAGAGCUUCGCAUCUUGAAGAAACUUGUGUCGCAGGAGCUAGAGGUUGCUCGUCGCGAUGUAGAGGCUUCCCAUCAUGAUAUCAAGGUCUUGGAGGACGAUCGUGCUAUCAUGAAGGCAUGGUGUGACAAAGCAAUGGAUAAGGCUAUCCGGGCUGGCCGGAUUUUGAUGAAGAGGCCUGGCGUUGUGGUGCCUGAUGACAUUGUAGUUGAUGUACUCGUUGCAUCGGGUACUUUGAGUAAUCCUUCUGCUUCUGGUGACCCUGUGGACAAGGUUCCUCGCGAGGAUGCUCAUGCACAGUAACUAGAGAGUGAGAGUGUACAUUGAUUUGUUCAAACAGAUAAUAACUUUUCAUUGAGAUGGUAUUUUUCGCGGUUUUUUGA